UACGUAGGGUGCGAGCGUUGUCCGGAAUUAUUGGGCGUAAAGAGCUCGUAGGCGGCCGGUUGCGUCUGCUGUGAAAUCCUGGGGCUUAACCCCGGGCGUGCAGUGGAUACGGGCCGGCUGGAGGCAGGCAGGGGAGAAUGGAAUUCCCGGUGUAGCGGUGAAAUUCGUAGAUAUUAGGAAGAACACCAGUGGCGAAGGCGGCUCGCUGGCCCGGUACUGACGCUGAGGCGCGAAAGCGUGGGGAGCAAACAGG
rnacentral:rRNA from 1 species